AAGCAAAAGAAUCUGCACAGCAAGGGGAAGAAAAUCAGAUCUCAACUCCUGCGAGUGAAAAUGAUGAAGGAAUCAGAGGUGAUCUCGAGGCCUCUACAACCCCAAUGGAUGCUGAACCUGAAACUGCUAGUGUGACUGACAUGGUGUCCCAAGGUGGCAGUCCAAUGCCGGACGAAAACCAGAAGCAAAGCUCUGACACAGAUGCCCGUCCAGAGAUGGGCCAAUUGGAAGCAGAUUCUGAGGCAGAGGCGGGGAUCAUUGAGGGUGAGGUUGAUUUAGAUGCAGCUUCCUGACUAUGCCAACAACAAGUUCGAUUUGGAAGAGAACGAACUCGUCUUCAUUUCCAGAACACCAAGCAAACUUUUACAGCCUUGUAAUGCUCCAUUCUUAAAGGUAUUAUAACCAGCUUAGUGAAACUUUAGUGGCUCAUUCCUUCAAAGCUGCAAAAAUAUUUAUUUCUUGUAGGAUCAAAUCAUUACUUCUUUAUGCUCUUAGUCAAAACAGUUUUGCUCUUUUUUUA